UCCCCCUGGCCAUGGGCAAAGAGAGAGUUGGUGGUGGUGUUCUUCUAUCAGUCAGGGCAGAGCAGAGGGCAGUCCUUUGUUCUUCUGAGCUUGAUGCCUGGCUUGAUGGCCGCAGCUGUUUUAUGCCUAGGACAUAUAA